rnacentral:tRNA from 1 species
GGCGGGUUGGCGGAGUGGUUACGCAGCGGAUUGCAAAUCCGUGUACACCGGUUCGAUUCCGGUACCCGCCUCCA